CUUAUCAAGAGUGGUGGAGGGAAUGGGCCCGUUGAAACCCGGCAACCUGUAAUAAUACAAAGGUGCUAAAUCCCACAGAAUAUUGAUUCUGAAAGAUGAGG
rnacentral:ncRNA from 1 species